rnacentral:lncRNA from 1 species
CUCCGGCCAGGGGCUCGGCCUCCCUCGGCUGUCUUCGCGUCCGCCCCUCCUUCUUGGGUCGCUCCGGCUACUGACUGUCUGAUAAAUGGAGAAAUCCAUCAAAUCGCGCAGCAGGAGCCGCUGAGUUGGCACAAAGCGCAGCUUCCUGCAGCGGACAUGCCGGGCUCCCUGCAAUCCGCGCGCCACGUCGGGACUCCCCGCAGGCUUUGACCCCCGAGGGGUCUCUCCGGAUGUUCCCAUCAGCUCCGGGCAGCUUGGCCAACGGUCGGGAAUGAUGGGAGUUGGAGUCCUGCAACACCUGGAGGGCGCGUGCCAUAAUUGGUUGCCCCUUCCUUGGUGUUCUGCUUAGAAAUGCUGAACUCAUAUCUGAUGUGCAACCAACUUGGUCACUUGGCUGCAAGACGGGCAGAGAAUUCCUACUUAAAUAUAUGGUACAAACUGAGCAUGGUAAGGUGCACUCAAUUUAAAAUGCCUGAUUGAUAAGUCCCUUAUCCAAGCAAACUAUACUUUGCCUUCAUCUGGGACCCAGGAAAAGUUGUCGGAUUCUCUUCGCAACUCAUGGCAGAAGUUAAUACUGCAGCCGCUUCUGCUCUGUCCUGCCUGCAGGCUAGAUGUCUCAUUUUUGGUGCUUGUCACCGUCGCUCCAGGGCUUGGGGGAAAGCAGGCAGUCUCCCCCUCCCGCAGUUCCAGGACCCCCGUUUCCCACUCCCACCCCAGCACCCCAUUUUCCAGCUGCUUGUGCACAUAGUGGCCAUCCUUCAAAGCCCUCAUUGUCACCCCGACCCCCGUCCUUUCCACACCCAUUUUUAUUUUUUACUAUUGUGAUUUGCAAAAUUGCAACAAGAUGUCAUGGUUACUCCUGCCUCCUCAGCGCAGGCUUCCACAGCAUGCUCAGUUUCUUGCUGCUCCAAUAUAAACCAGAAGUGUUCAUGCCUCGCAGAAUUACCCUUUAGAUUAGAAGAUUUUAGGCCGUGCUAUUUAGGGAGUGGUAGAAGAAGCAAGAGAAAUCAGGACUUGCCUCCUGCUUGCAGCCUUGACUUGCCCUUACUCUGCCCAUGUGGUCCAGUUGCCCCAAAAUAACAAUAACAAUAAUAAUAAUAAUAAUAAUAAUAAUUAAUAUUAAUAUUAAUAUAUACCCCAUCCACUCUGGGCAGCUUCCAACAAAAUAUUAAAGUACAAUAAUUCAUCAAAUAUUAAAAGCUUCCCUAUAAAUUUAUAGCUGCCUCACACAGUAUAGGGUAGAAGCAGGCAAAUGCUGGAAUAUUAAAUGUCUGCUUCUACAAUAACAUGCAAAAGCCAUCUUUGAUAUGAGCUCAUAUCUGGUUUAUGCUCAGUAGAAAUAAAAAGGGAGCCAAGUGUCAUUGGAGGGCCACCUCAUUGCACAAAGCCAAUCGUUUAGCCUUUGAUAAGAAAUAUUGCAUAACCUUUCAGUCACAGCGGUUAAUCACCUCAUCAUGAUCAAUCCCUAAGAUCAAGGUCAAUUUCAAUAUCUCCAAGCUUGAGUUUCUGCUCUGGAAGUUAAUCCUAUAGAGAGACACGAAUAAUUCUCCUGAGGCCAUUUUAGUCUUGCCCAAAAGCUGGCAGGGAGAGACUGCUUAAAACAGAGAAAGUCCCACACUGCCCAGGGAAGGGAACCUCCGGCGUGAGGGCCAAAUGUGGCCCAUCAGGUCUCUCUGUGUGGCCCUUGGACCUCUUCACAGGCCACACCCCUGGAGUGUUUUGGGGGGUGGGGUAGAAGGGGUCCUGGUACCCUGACAUAUCCUCUUGCUUCCUUCAGGGAGGAAAGAAAGAAAUGUGUGUGGAGCAACUGGCCGCCUGUAUCAAAGGACACCUUUCUAGUCCUUGCUGGAGCCACUUUUGUCUCUGCCCAGCCCUGCGCACCGUGGGAAGUUUGCCCAGAUGGAAACAGAGCCCUUGGACUGAAAAAGCCUCCCCAUCCCCACCCCAAAAACGAUUAAGGAAGGCAGUAAUGAGCAAUGGAUUCCUGCUGUCCAUCGCCCCUUUCUCACGUCUCAUGGGUUGGCCCCAGACAAGCCUCCCAGGCUAGAGAGUCCCUGGUAGUCCGUGUUGCCUAUCCAGGAGCCCAGGUCCCUACGGCAGAAGUGCCUGGGAAGAAACGGUUGGUGCUGAGCCUGAAAAGCUAGCGGCCCCCAUGCUAAGUGGGUGAACUGGUGGACUUUAGUGGAGAAGGAAACUUACUGUUGUGGCUCCCACUUGAUGGAGAACUCAAACUCAGGUCCGGGUUUCUACCCAAAUCAUUAAUGUUCAGAUGGCUGCAAGACAUGCGCAAGACAUAGCUCAAAGGCUGCACAAGGAAAAGCAUUGCUGCUCAUUUGACCAAAGCUGGUAGGUGUUGAUAGUUAGCAGACCGGGCAAUAGGCAGCUUAUCUAUUAUAAGUAAUACACAGG